UCUACGGGAGGCAGCAGUGAGGAAUAUUGGUCAAUGGCCGGAAGGCUGAACCAGCCAAGCCGCGUGAGGGAGGAAGGCGCAGAGCGUCGCAGACCUCUUUUGCCGGGGGACAAAAGGCCGGACUCGUCCGGUCCUGAGGGUACCCGGAGAAAAAGCAUCGGCUAACUCCGUGCCAGCAGCCGCGGUAAUACGGAGGAUGCGAGCGUUAUCCGGAUUCAUUGGGUUUAAAGGGUGCGCAGGCGGAAUGUCAAGUCAGCGGUAAAAUUUCGGGGCUCAACCCCGUCGUGCCGUUGAAACUGGCGUUCUGGAGUGAGCGAGAAGUAUGCGGAAUGCGUGGUGUAGCGGUGAAAUGCAUAGAUAUCACGAAGAACCCCGAUUGCGAAGGCAGCUUACUAAACUGUGACUGACAUUGAUGCUCGAAAGUGUGGGUAUCAAACAGGAUUAGAUACCCUGGUAGUC
rnacentral:rRNA from 1 species